UUAAAUUGAAGAGUUUGAUCAUGGCUCAGAUUGAACGCUGGCGGCAGGCCUAACACAUGCAAGUCGAGCGGCAGCACAGAGAAACUUGUUUCUCGGGUGGCGAGCGGCGGACGGGUGAGUAAUGCCUGGGAAAUUACCCUGAUGUGGGGGAUAACCAUUGGAAACGAUGGCUAAUACCGCAUAAUAGCUUCGGCUCAAAGAGGGGGACCUUCGGGCCUCUCGCGUCAGGAUAUGCCCAGGUGGGAUUAGCUAGUUGGUGAGGUAAUGGCUCACCAAGG
rnacentral:rRNA from 1 species